rnacentral:rRNA from 1 species
UAACGAAUCUUCCGCAAUGCGCGAAAGCGUGACGGAGCAAUGCCGCGUGCAGGAUGAAGCCCUUCGGGGUGUAAACUGCUGUCAGGGUUCAGCAACACAAUGAGCAGAUCCAAAGGAAGAGCCGACUAACUCUGUGCCAGCAGUCGCGGUAAUACAGAGGGCUCGAGCGUUGCGCGGAGUCACUGGGCUUAAAGCGUACGUAGGCGGGCGUGCAGGCAUCGUGUGAAAUCCCCCGGACUCAACCGGGGAACUGCUCGGUGAACCGCACGUCUUGAGGUCAGUAGGGGCGGUCGGAACGAUAGGUGGAGCGGUGAAAUGCGUAGAUAUCUAUCGGAACGCCGAAGGUGAAGACAGGCCGCUGGGCUGAUUCUGACGCUGAGUACGAAAGCGUGGGGAGCAAAC